rnacentral:rRNA from 1 species
UACGUAGGAGGCAAGCGUUGUCCGGAAUCACUGGGCGUAAAGCGCGUGUAGGUGGUGCGACAAGUCUGCUGUGAAAGCGCCUGGCUUAACCGGGCGAGGUCGGCGGAAACUGACGUACUGGAGGCCGGUAGAGGGGGGUGGAAUUCCCGGUGUAGCGGUGAAAUGCGCAGAUAUCAGGAGGAACACCGGUGGCGAAGGCGGGUCUCUGGGCCGAUAUCGACGCUGAGGAGCGAAAGCGUGGGGAGCGAACAGG